rnacentral:siRNA from 1 species
GAUGAGGUAUGUAAUCGAAUCGAU